AACGAACGCUGGCGGCGUGGAUAAGACAUGCAAGUCGAACGGGACAGACCGAGUAGCAAUAUUUGGAAUGUUCAGUGGCGAACGGGUGCGUAACACGUGGAUAACAUUCCGGAAAGCGGGGAAUAGCCCAGGGAAACUUGGAUUAAUACCGCAUGUGGCCGCAAGGCUAAAGACGGGGACCGCAGGGCCUGUCACUUUCCGAUUGGUCCGCGGCCUAUCAGCUAGUUGGCGGGGUAAUGGCCCACCAAGGCUACGACGGGUAGCUGGUCUUAGAGGACGACCAGCCACACUGGAACUGAGACACGGUCCAGACACCUACGGGUGGCAGCAGUCGAGAAUCUUUCACAAUGGGGGCAACCCUGAUGGAGCGACGCCGCGUGGAGGAUAAGGUCUUCGGAUUGUAAACUCCUGUCAUGCGAGAACAAGGUACUCAGGCUGAUAACCUGAUUGUUUGAUGGUACCGCAAGAGGAAGAGACGGCUAACUCUGUGCCAGCCGCCGCGGUAAGAC
rnacentral:rRNA from 1 species